UCCAUGUUUCCUUAAAUAAGAGGUUGUACUCCCUAAAAUCACUUCCAGCUUUCCAUAAUAGACAUCUCUACAAAAGAAUUUAUAGCUUUUUUCUCUCUUCUCCCUUUCUCCUCCUCAUUAUAGAUCAAAACAACUCAAAUCUGCUGAUCUAGGAGAAACUAAGAGCGGAGGAACCCUAGGACGGUUGAAGAAGAUAGAAGAUGGGAAGGGGAAAGAUUGUGAUCCGGAGGAUUGACAAUUCGACCAGUAGGCAAGUGACUUUCUCGAAAAGAAGAAACGGGUUGCUGAAGAAAGCGAGAGAGCUAUCGAUUCUUUGUGAUGCAGAAGUGGGGCUAAUUAUCUUCUCCAGCACCAGCAAGCUCUAUGAAUAUUCAAGCACUAGCAUGACAUCUGUUAUUGAACGCUACAGCAAACUAAAACAGGAACAAAAUCAGCUGCUCAACCCUGCUUCAGAAGUCAAGUUUUGGCAAAGGGAGGCUGCCAACUUGAGGCAACAGCUACAAGGCUUACAAGAAUGCCACAGACAACUGAUGGGAGAAGAACUUUCUGGUUUAAGUGUCAAAGAGUUGCAGAAUCUGGAAAACCAACUAGAAAUGAGUUUGAAGGGUGUCCGGGUGAAAAAGGAACAAAUUUUAACUGAUGAGAUCAAAGAACUCAACCACAAGGGAAGUCUCAUUCAUCAAGAGAAUUUAGAACUCUAUAAGAAGGUAAACAUCCUCCACCAAGAAAAUAAAGAACUGCAAAAGAAGGUUUAUGGAUCAAGAAAUGUAAAUGCAGCAAACAGGAUUUCCCAGCCUCCAUACACUAUCAGCAAUGGGUACGAAUCACACCCACCUCUCCGUCUCCAGUUAAGCCAGCCCCAGCCUCAAAAAAAUGAGACACCACCAAAAUCAAUGCAACUGGGACUGCAGCUGCAUUAACAAAAAUUUGACAACUGUGGAAGCACAUCACUCCUUACUCUAUCAAUAACUUGCCCCACAGUUCAAAAGUCAAGCUUGAUCAUUCUCAGGGAUGCAUCAAAAAACUACAUUGUUUAUGUGAGCUCUUGCAGACAGGAGAUCUCUGGUAGGUGGAAAAACCAAAGAUCAGAACCUCAAGGUUUGGAAUCCUUUCACUUUCUAUGUGUGCAACAUAGCAUAUAAGUGCUUUGCUGGGUUUGUCCAAGAUAUCUUAUAAUAACUGUUGACAAUAUUACGUUAAUUUAGGGUUUUUUCCUUUAUUGUAUAUUUGUUUUAAUUAGGGCUAUAAUUAAGGCUGUAAAAUAGGCUUUUAUUUUUCUGAAUAUUAUAUUUUUCCUAGUUUAGAAUAUUCCUAUUUUAAAACUCUUGUAUACCAGGCUUCCUUGUAACUU